AAAUACUUCACUUACUUGAUUUUGGUUAAUCAAAUCACACACAUACUCAAGUGGUGGAAAAUUUUCACAAAUAGGUUGAUCAACACCAAUUACACAAGACAAUGUACUUUCGUUCAACAUAUAGGCUUCAACACUAGGUGGACAUAAAUCGAUCUUACGAGAAGAGUCAAUUUGGUCAUCAAUAGGAUCAACUAGUGUAUCCACACUCACAACAUGUACAUCAUUAACAAAAGGCAAAGAAUCACUAGACUCACAAGUAAGUAAUCU
rnacentral:lncRNA from 1 species